rnacentral:RNase_P_RNA from 1 species
CCCGCAGACCGCCUUAUCGCCACGCCCAAAAGCGUGGAGGAAAGUCCGGACACCACAGAGUAGCAUAGCGGGUAACGCCCGUCAGUUCAAGCAAUUGAAUUAGGACAAGUGCAACAGAAAGUAUGUACAGGUAAUGCUGUAGUGAAACCAGGUAAACUCUAUGCGGUGAAAUUUCAAGUAUAUCGGCAUUUAAGGAUGACUCGUCCGUUGUCGAAGGGUAGAAAGAUUGAUCUUGUUGGUAACAACGAGACUAGAUAAAUGAUAAGGGUUUCGAGCAAUCGAAAUACAGAAUCCGGCUUAUAGGUCUGCUUUUUUU